rnacentral:rRNA from 1 species
AUUCCAGCUCCAAUAGCGUAUAUUAAAGUUGUUGCAGUUAAAAAGCUCGUAGUUGGAUUUGUGGUGGUGCCUGCGGUCCAAAAUGUUUUGGUGCUGUCGGGCACUGCCAUCCUUGGGUGGAACCUGUGGGGCAUUAGGUUGUUUUGCAGGGGAUGCCCAUCGUUUACUGUGAAAAAAUUAGAGUGUUCAAAGCAGGCUUACGCCGUUGAAUAUAUUAGCAUGGAAUAAUGAGAUAGGACUCUGGUGCUAUUUUGUUGGUUUGCGCACCGAAGUAAUGAUUAAUAGGGACAGUUGGGGGUAUUCGUAUUCCAUUGUCAGAGGUGAAAUUCUUGGAUUUUUGGAAGACGAACUACUGCGAAAGCAUUUACCAAGGAUGUU